GAAAUGCGAUAAGUAGUGUGAAUUGCAGAAUUCAGUGAAUCAUCGAAUCUUUGAACGCACAUUGCGCCCCUUGGUAUUCCAUGGGGCAUGCCUGUUCGAGCGUCAUUUGUACCCUCAAGCUCUGCUUGGUGUUGGGUGUUUGUCCCGUCUCCGCGCGUGGACUCGCCCCAAAGUGCUUGGCAGCCGGCGUACUGGUCCCGGAGCGCAGCACAUGUCGCGCAAACGAGUGCCUUGGUACGGCGGCGUCCAUAAGCCCCUCUCUCACGCUCUUGACCUCGGAUCAGGUAGGGAUACCCGCUGAACUUAAGC
rnacentral:misc_RNA from 1 species